rnacentral:rRNA from 1 species
AAACCAGCACCUCAAGUGGUCAGGAUGAUUAUUGGGCCUAAAGCAUCCGUGGCCUGCUCUGUAAGUUUUCGGUUAAAUCUGUACGCUCAACGUACAGGCUGCCGGGAAUACUGCAGAGCUAGGGAGUGGGAGAGGUAGACGGUACUCGGGAGGAAGGGGUAAAAUCCUUUGAUCUCUCGAUGACCACCUGUGGCGAAGGCGGUCUACCAGAACACGUCCGACGGUGAGGGAUGAAAGCUGGGGGAGCAAACCGGAUUAGAAACCCGGGUAGUCC